rnacentral:rRNA from 1 species
AGCAGCCAGACUUGCCUGUAGUUGCUUAUCCGGACUUUUGUCCGGUGCACUCUUCUGCGGGCAGGCCAGCAUCAGUUUAGGCGGUUGGAUAAAGGUCUCUGUCAUGUACCUCUCUUCGGGGAGGCCUUAUAGGGGAGACGACAUGCAACCAGCCUGGACUGAGGUCCGCGCAUCUGCUAGGAUGCUGGCGUAAUGGCUGUAAGCGGCCCGUCUUGAAACACGGACCAAGGAGUCUAACAUCUAUGCGAGUGUUUGGGUGUCAAGCCCAGACGCGUAAUGAAAGUGAACGGAGGUGGGAACCCUUACGGGUGCACCAUCGACCGAUCCUGAUGUCUUCGGAUGGAUUUGAGUAAGAGCAUGGCUGUUGGGACCCGAAAGAUGGUGAACUAUGCUUGAAUAGGGUGAAGCCAGAGGAAACUCUGGUGGAGGCUCGCAGCGGUUCUGACGUGCAAAUCGAUCGUCAAAUUUGGGCAUAGGGGCGAAAGACUAAUCGAACUAUCUAGUAGCUGGUUCCUGCCGAAGUUUCCCUCAGGAUAGCAGUAACGUAUUCAGUUUUAUGAGGUAAAGCGAAUGAUUAGAGGCCUGGGGGUUGAAACAACCUUCACCUAUUCUCAAACUUUAAAUAUGUAAGAAGUCCUUGUUACUUGAUUGAACGUGGACACUUGAAUGUACCGUUACUAGUGGGCCAUUUUUGGUAAGCAGAACUGGCGAUGCGGGAUGAACCGAACGGGGGGUUAAGGUGCCAGAAUAUACGCUCAUCAGACACCACAAAAGGUGUUGGUUCAUCUAG